rnacentral:rRNA from 1 species
UACAGAGGUGGCAAGCGUUGUUCGGAAUUACUGGGCGUAAAGGGCGCGUAGGCGGUCAGGUCAGUCCCGUGUGAAAUCCCUCGGCUCAACUGAGGAACUGCACGGGAAACUGCCUGGCUUGAGUUCGGGAGAGGGAAGCGGAAUUUCGGGUGUAGCGGUGAAAUGCGUAGAUAUCGGAAGGAACAUCAGUGGCGAAAGCGGCUUCCUGGACCAGAACUGACGAUCAGGCUCGAAAGCGUGGGGAGCAAACAGG